GCGGCAUACAGAACGUUCGUAGGCCUAUAGGCUUACUUUUAGAAUGAAUGGAACAAAUAAAGAUUAAGAUAACUUUCCACAAACUAUAGCGACAUUCCGUUUAUCUAUUUGGUCAGUUGAGAUGAAGUCAAGGGUAUAUGAGAGGUCGGUGGCUUUCAGAGAUGGAUGCUGUGUUGUGACUAUCUGUAGGCACAAAUCAAAGCUCAUAACAGGAAGUCCUAAAGGAGGCUUCUGCCCCCCUGCCUGCUGAUUGGCCUACUCCAAGAAAACUGAUUUGGUGUACCCCAAUCCCUCUUCAGGUGUUGGAGUGGUGCCUAUAGAUGCCCUUCCCCUUUGGCAGGUGAACCAGGAAUCCGGUGCUGUAAGCAGAGUGUCAAGGACGGCCGCCAAAACAGUUGACAGCAGCAGCAUUUCAAGUGAACGAGUGAGAUGAGCCAUUCCUCGGGAUGAGGCC